rnacentral:tRNA from 2 species
GGGGAGGUGGCAGAGUGGUCGAUCGCUCCGGUCUUGAAAACCGGCGAGCCGGCAACGGUUCCGUGGGUUCGAAUCCCACCCUCCCCG